UCGGGAAUUUUGGGCAAUGGGGGCAACCCUGAUCCAGCCAUGCCGCGUGAGUGAAGAAGGCCUUCGGGUUGUAAAGCUCUUUCGGCGGGGACGAAACGGUCCGUGACAACACCACGGACUAAUGACAGUACUCGCAGAAGAAGCACCGGCUAACUACGUGCCAGCAGCCGCGGUAAUACGUAGGGUGCAGGCGUUAAUCGGAAUUACUGGGCGUAAAGCGUGCGCAGGCGGCUCCUUAAGUCAGAUGUGAAAUCCCCGGGCUUAACCUGGGAACUGCGUUUGAAACUGAGGGGCUAGAGUGUGGAAGAGGGGGGUGGAAUUCCAGGUGUAGCAGUGAAAUGCGUAGAGAUCUGGAGGAACACCGAUGGCGAAGGCAGCCCCCUGGGCUAACACUGACGCUCAUGCACGAAAGCGUGGGGAGCAAACAGGAUUAGAUACCCCCGUAGUCCCUGAGCGGGCUGGCAAGGCGCAU
rnacentral:rRNA from 1 species